rnacentral:rRNA from 1 species
AUUGAACGCUGGCGGCAGGCCUAACACAUGCAAGUCGAGCGAGUGGCGGACGGGUGAGUAAUGUCUGGGGAACUGCCCGAUAGAGGGGGAUAACUACUGGAAACGGUAGCUAAUACCGCAUACUAUCGGAUGAACCCAUAUGGGAUUAGCUAGUAGGUGGGGUAAAGGCUCACCAAGGCGACGAUCCCUAGCUGGUCUGAGAGGAUGAUCAGCAACACGGGAACUGAGACACGGUCAAGACUCCGACGGGAGGCAGCAGUGGGGAAUAUUGCACAAUGGGCGCAAGCCUGAUGCAGCCAUGCCGCGUGUAUGAAGAAGGCCUUAGGGUUGUAAAGUACUUUCAGCGGGGAGGCGUUACCCGCAGAAGAAGCACCGGCUAACUCCGUGCCAGCAGCCGCGGUAAUAC